rnacentral:rRNA from 1 species
UACGGAGGGGGCUAGCGUUGUUCGGAAUUACUGGGCGUAAAGCGCACGUAGGCGGCUUUGUAAGUUAGAGGUGAAAGCCCGGGGCUCAACUCCGGAAUUGCCUUUAAAACUGCAUCGCUAGAAUUGUGGAGAGGUAAGUGGAAUUCCGAGUGUAGAGGUGAAAUUCGUAGAUAUUCGGAAGAACACCAGUGGCGAAGGCGACUUACUGGACACAUAUUGACGCUGAGGUGCGAAAGCGUGGGGAGCAAACAGGGAU